rnacentral:rRNA from 1 species
GGACCCGCACAACCAGUGGAGCAUGUGGUUUAAUUCGAGACGAAACGAAAGACCUCACCCAGCCUUGACAUGAUACCGUUUUAAGCACUCAGAAAUGAGAGCCUAUCUUUAGAAAUAUUGAUGGUACCACAGGUGCUGCAUGGCCGUCGUCAGCUCGUGCCGUAGGGUGUUCCCUUCAGUGGGGUAACGAGCGCAACCCUCAUCCUAAGUUGAAUAUUCUUAGGAGACUCCCUAAAUUUAUUUUAGGGGGAAGUGAGGACGACGUCAGGUCAGCAUGGCCCUUAUAGCUGGGGCCACACACAUACUACAAUGGAGCCGACAGAGGGUUGCCAAGUGGCAACACGGAGCUAAUCCCAAAAACGGCUUCUCAGUGGGGAUUGAGGGCUGCAACCCGCCCUCAUGAACUUGGAAUUGGUAGUAAUCGCGGAUCAGCAUGCCGCGGUGAAUACGUUCUCGGGUCUU